rnacentral:rRNA from 1 species
CGUGUAGGCGGGUCGUUAAGUUGGGGGUGAAAUCCCGAGGCUCAACCUCGGAACUGCCUUCAAAACUGGCGACCUGGAGCGAGAUAGAGGCAAGUGGAAUUCCGAGUGUAGAGGUGAAAUUCGUAGAUAUUCGGAGGAACACCAGUGGCGAAGGCGACUUGCUGGAUCUCUGCUGACGCUGAGACGCGAAAGCGUGGGGAGCAAACA